rnacentral:rRNA from 1 species
UACGAAGGGGGCUAGCGUUGCUCGGAAUCACUGGGCGUAAAGCGCACGUAGGCGGCUUUUUAAGUCAGGGGUGAAAUCCUGGAGCUCAACUCCAGAACUGCCUUUGAUACUGAGAAGCUUGAGUCCGGGAGAGGUGAGUGGAACUGCGAGUGUAGAGGUGAAAUUCGUAGAUAUUCGCAAGAACACCAGUGGCGAAGGCGGCUCACUGGCCCGGAACUGACGCUAAGGCGCGAAAGCGUGGGGAGCGAACAGG